rnacentral:rRNA from 1 species
AUUGAACGCUGGCGGAAUGCUUUACACAUGCAAGUCGAACGGCAGCACGGGGGCAACCCUGGUGGCGAGCGGCGAACGGGUGAGUAAUACAUCGGAACGUGCCCAGUCGUGGGGGAUAACGUAGCGAAAGUUACGCUAAUACCGCAUACGAUCUACGGAUGAAAGCGGGGGACCGUAAGGCCUCGCGCGAUUGGAGCGGCCGAUGUCAGAUUAGGUAGUUGGUGAGGUAAAGGCUCACCAAGCCGACGAUCUGUAGCUGGUCUGAGAGGACGACCAGCCACACGGGGACUGAGACACGGCCCAGACUCCUACGGGAGGCAGCAGUGGGGAAUUUUGGACAAUGGGCGCAAGCCUGAUCCAGCCAUUCCGCGUGCAGGACGAAGGCCUUCGGGUUGUAAACUGCUUUUGUACGGAACGAAAAGGCUCUGGUUAAUACCUGGGGCUCAUGACGGUACCGUAAGAAUAAGCACCGGCUAACUACGUGCCAGCCGCCGCAGUAA